rnacentral:rRNA from 1 species
UCGAGCGGACAGUAGCAAUACUGUUAGCGGCGAACGGUCGCGUAACACGUAGGCAACCUGCCCCAAAGACCGGGACAACAGGGGGAAACUCUUGCUAAUACCGGAUGUAACCAUCGAGACGCGUGUCUUGAUGAUUAAAACCGAGCAAUCGGGCUUUGGGAGGGGCCUGCGGCCUAUCAGCUAGAUGGUGGGGUAACGGCCUACCAUGGCGACGACGGGUAGCCGGUCUGAGAGGAUGGUCAGCCGGACUGGGACUGAGACACGGCCCAGACUCCUACGGGGGGCAGCAAUUAGGAAUCUUGUGCAAUGGGCGAAAGCCUGACACAGCGACGCCGCGUGAGGGAUGACGGCCUUCGGGUUGUAAACCUCUUUUGACGAGGAAGAAACAAAUGACGGUACUCGUCGAAUAAGCCACGGCUAACUCCGUGCCAGCAGCCGCGGUAAUA